rnacentral:rRNA from 1 species
GAUGAACGCUGGCGGCGUGCCUAAUACAUGCAAGUCGAGCGAACGGACGAGAAGCUUGCUUUUCUGAUGUUAGCGGCGGACGGGUGAGUAACACGUGGAUAACCUACCUAUAAGACUGGGAUAACUUCGGGAAACCGGAGCUAAUACCGGAUAAUAUUUUGAACCGCAUGGUUCAAAAGUGAAAGACGGUCUUGCUGUCACUUAUAGAUGGAUCCGCGCUGCAUUAGCUAGUUGGUAAGGUAACGGCUUACCAAGGCAACGAUGCAUAGCCGACCUGAGAGAGUGAGCGGCCACACUGGAACUGAGACACGGGCCAGACUCCUACGGGAGGCAGCAGUAGGGAAUCUUCCGCGAUGGGCGAAAGCCUGACGGAGCAACGCGGCGUGAGUGAUGAAGGUCUUCUGAUCGUAAAACACUGUUAUUAGGGAAGAACAUAUGUGUAAGUGACUGUGCACAUCUUGACGGUACCUAAUCAGAAAGCCACGGCUAACUACGUG